GGAAAAAUAGUUUAAUAAUAAAACAUAAUACUGAAAAUGUUAAAAUGACACAGUCUUUUUCCA
rnacentral:tRNA from 1 species